rnacentral:misc_RNA from 1 species
GAUGAAGAACGUAGCGAAAUGCGAUACGUAAUGUGAAUUGCAAAUUCAGUGAAUCAUCGAGUCUUUGAACGCACAUUGCGCCCCCUGGUAUUCCGGGGGGCAUGCCUGUCCGAGCGUCAUUGCUGCCCUCAAGCACGGCUUGUGUGUUGGGCCCCGUCCUCCGAUCCCGGGGGCCGGGCCCGAAAGGCAGCGGCGGCACCGCGUCCGGUCCUCGAGCGUAUGGGGCUUUGUCACCCGCUCUGUAGGCCCGGCCGGCGCUUGCCGAUCAACCCAAAUUUUUAUCCAGGUUGACCUCGGAUCAGGUAGGGAUGCCCGCUGAACUUAAGCAUAUCAAUAAGCGGAGGA